rnacentral:piRNA from 1 species
UAUUUCUGGAUGCAACUCUUACCCGAUUCU